ensembl:scaRNA SCARNA14 Small Cajal body specific RNA 14
GUGAUGGCCUUCUAAUGGCUUCAGUGAAGAGUUUCUGUACUGCAGUCUAUGGCCAUCACAAACAGCAACAUGAUUCCUGCUGACAGGACCUGUCAAGAAGUUGGGUGACCUGUGCGAUGGUUUCAUACAAA